rnacentral:rRNA from 1 species
UACGGAGGACCCGAGCGUUAUCCGGAUUUAUUGGGUUUAAAGGGAGCGUAGGUGGAUUGUUAAGUCAGUUGUGAAAGUUUGCGGCUCAACCGUAAAAUUGCAGUUGAAACUGGCAGUCUUGAGUACAGUAGAGGUGGGCGGAAUUCGUGGUGUAGCGGUGAAAUGCUUAGAUAUCACGAAGAACUCCGAUUGCGAAGGCAGCUCACUGGACUGCAACUGACACUGAGGCUCGAAAGUGUGGGUAUCAAACAGG